rnacentral:tRNA from 2 species
GGUUCCGUAGCUCAGCAGGAUAGAGCAACCGCCUCCUAAGCGGUAGGUCGGCAGUUCGAAUCUGCCCGGGAUCACCA